rnacentral:rRNA from 1 species
CUGGCUCAGAACGAACGCUGGCGGCGCGUUUUAAGCAUGCAAGUCGAACGGUAGGGUAGUGCUUGCACUACUUGAGAGUGGCGAACGGGUGAGUAACACGUAGGUGAUCUACCUUUAUGUAGGGGAUAGCCUGUGGAAACACAGGGUAAUACCCGAUGUGACUGAUAUCUUGCGGGGUAUUGGUGAAAGGUGCUGAGGCACCGCAUAAGGAUGAGCCUGCGUCUGAUUAGUUAGUUGGUGGGGUAAAGGCCUACCAAGGCGACGAUCAGUAGCCGGCCUGAGAGGGUGACCGGCCACACUGGGACUGAGACACGGCCCAGACUCCUACGGGAGGCAGCAGCUAAGAAUCUUCCGCAAUGGGGGAAACCCUGACGGAGCGACGCCGCGUGAACGAAGAAGUGCCGUGAGGUUGUAAAGUUCUUUUCUCGGAGAAGAAUAAGGUAGCGAGGGAAUGCGCUACUGAUGACAUUACCCGAGGAAUAAGCCCCGGCUAAUUACGUGCCAGCAGCCGCGGUAACACGUAAGGGGCGAGCGUUGUUCGGAUUUAUUGGGCGUAAAGGGCGUGUAGGCGGUUUUGUAAGCCUGGUGUGAAAGGCUCCGGCUUAACUGGAGUUUGCGCUGGGAACUGCAAGACUAGAGUUCAGGAGGGGAAGCUGGAAUUCCUGGUGUAGGGGUGAAAUCUGUAGAUAUCAGGAAGAACACCGGUGGCGAAGGCGAGCUUCUGGCCAUGAACUGACGCUGAGGCGCGAAAGCGUGGGGAGCGAACAGGAUUAGAUACCCUGGUAGUCCACGCUGUAAACGAUGUGCACUAGGUGUAGGGCUGUAUGAAGCUCUGUGCCGA